rnacentral:rRNA from 1 species
GAUGAACGCUGGCGGCAUGCCUAACACAUGCAAGUCGAACGGACUUAGAUGAAACCUAGUGAUUCUGAGUUAGUGGCGGACGGGUGAGUAACGCGUGGGUAACCUGCCUCACACUGGGGGAUAACAGUUAGAAAUGACUGCUAAUACCGCAUAAGUGCACAGGACCGCAUGGUCUAGUGUAAAAAACUCCGGUGGUGUGAGAUGGACCCGCGUCUGAUUAGCUAGUUGGUGAGGUAACGGCUCACCAAGGCAACGAUCAGUAGCCGGCCUGAGGGGGUGAACGGCCACAUUGGGACUGAGACACGGCCCAAACUCCUACGGGAGGCAGCAGUGGGGAAUAUUGCACAAUGGGGGAAACCCUGAUGCAGCAAUGCCGCGUGAGUGAAGAAGUAUUUCGGUAUGUAAAGUUCUAUCAGCAGGGAAGAAAAUGACGGUACCUGACUAAGAAGCUCCGGCUAAAUACGUGCCAGCCGCCGCCGUAACAC